UACAGAGGGUGCAAGCGUUAAUCGGAAUUACUGGGCGUAAAGCGCACGUAGGUGGCGACGUAUGUCGGGUGUGAAAGCCCUCGGCUCAACCGGGGAAGUGCGCCCGAAACUGCAUCGCUGGAGUGCCGGAGAGGGUGGCGGAAUUCCCGGUGUAGAGGUGAAAUUCGUAGAUAUCGGGAGGAACACCAGUGGCGAAGGCGGCCACCUGGACGGACACUGACGCUGAGACGCGAAAGCGUGGGUAGCAAACAGG
rnacentral:rRNA from 1 species